GAUCAGUUAUUGAGGUAAACAGACACAGGUCUAUCUCUGUAGGGAUCAGUUAUUGAGGUAAACAGACACAGGUGUAUCUCUGUAGGGAUCAGUUAUUGAGGUAAACAGACACAGGUCUAUCUCUGUAGUUAUUCGGGUAAACAGACACAGGUGUAUCUCUGUAGGGAUCAGUUAUUGAGGUAAACAGACACAGGUCUAUCUCUGUAGGGAUCAGUUAUUGGGGUAAACAGACACAGGUCUAUCUCUGUAGGGAUCAGUUAUUGGGGUAAACAGACACAGGUCUAUCUCUGUAGGGAUCAGUUAUUGGGGUAAACAGACACAGGUCUAUCUCUGUAGGGAUCAGUUAUUGAGGUAAAUAGACACAGGUCUAGGAUCAGUUAUUGAGGUAAAC
ensembl:lncRNA